rnacentral:lncRNA from 1 species
AUAAUUUUCUCUUCUUUUCUUAAUACUCCAGCACUAAGUGUGAGGAGCACUAAGCGUUUUAGUCAGUGACACUAACAUUUAAGCACCAAAUUUUAAGAGUUAAAUGGAUAAAAGCAGCUUACCCUGUCUUUGUGCAAGCUAAGUGAGUAAAUAUCUUUUUUAACCUGUCACUGAGUCCUAACGUGAAAUAUUCAGUGUUUAAAACAAAGCAAAGAGUUAGACCAUCACAUUCACAAGCUCCUCUAAAUCAGGCUCAUGUGAACGCUGAGCGUAUAAAUGCUUGCCUUAUUGGUGCAGUUGAUUGAACCCCACAUUUUCAUGUAAGAAUGUUUCUGGUCCCUUUAUUUAACAAUUAGUGUUGACUCAACACCUUGGGAGCAGACGCCACGUUUUGAAAGUCCUACAGCAACCUCCUGUAUUUCCCAGGGUCUGUAUUCCCUUCAUCUCCUUUCAUCUCCUACCAAAAGGAAGCUACCAAUAGGUUUGUAUAAAUGCAGCCACUGUUUUGCAUUCUACUCUAAGCUCCUUGCUUCAUUUCUUCUGGACUUAGCUCAUUAUAGUUAAAUGGUGCUAGAAGCUUGUGUCUUGGUGUGCUGCUAAUGGGGCAGAGCUCCAAUUAGCUGCUGGCGCAAGCACUGAAACAAAUCAGCAGCAUCUGCAAUGCACAGCUGGAUGGCAAAGACACCCGAAAUAUGCUGGGGAUUGAACUGAAGCCAAAGGCAGGAGCACUAAAGACAGAAAUCUGGAUCAGGCCUUGGAGAAGAUGGCUGUAGGGCCCACAGCUUGAGAGUCUGUCUGCGUAUGGAGGGUUAAAGAAGAGCUCAGAGAAGAGACAAAGUUUGGACUGCAGCAAUGCAUAGGUCCAGAAGUCGUGGAAAAACGUGUAGAGAUCACAAAUUCUGUUUUGCUGUGCAGGAGAGAAUUACACAGAUGAGGCACAGCAGACAGAAUUAGUGAUUCAGAAGCCAGGUUGGUUAAGAGGCUGCUGAUUUUCUCCUUGUGUCCAUCACUCCAGCAGUUGUGCUUGGUCUGAAAGGAAUGAAGGGAUUCUUUCCCAGUGGUCACCCAAUGGACAGGAGGUCCACGUGUCUGGUUAAACCACAUCACCAUGACACGACAAGUGGGCCCAAGUUCCUUCAACAAGCAAGUCAAAUCCUGCUACCUAUAAAAACAACCCCAUACCUGGCAGAAGUUCUCUUCGCCCCUGCAGAUGGUGUUGCAGUUGGUGGUGUUGCUUACAAAGAUGAGAUAAAAAUAUAUCAGCCUUGCUACAGGAAGGGCAUUGGCACCAUCUCAGACUCAGACUAUGGCUGGAGCUUUUGGGGUCAGGGGAAGUCUUUCAGCUCUCACUCCCAGAAGCAAAACAGCAGCCAUCAGACAGCCGAGACUGCCAGCCCCCAGCUGUCCCGCAAGAACGAGCACGUAUCCUUUGACUCUCCUGAAAGUGGGAUUCAAUUUCUCCGCACUGCAGGGAGGGGGCGAAGUGCUUUGGGAAGGGAAACAGCAGAGGCUCCCCAUGGCCGCGGCCUUGUGCAGGGUUCCUGUGGCCCAGCUGACUCACUCCCUGCUGGCAGCCUGCAGCCGCACGGACACCACAAAUAGGCCGCUGACCUACUUGCAGAGGGGCCAGCGGCAGCAGCAGGCGCUCAGCCUGCUUUCAGGAUGGCACACAUGUCCCUUCCCAGCUGACUCUUCACUUCAGUUCC